rnacentral:rRNA from 1 species
UACGUAGGGUCCAAGCGUUAUCCGGAAUUACUGGGCGUAAAGCGUACGUAGGCGGCGCGUUAAGUGCAAUGCGAAAUCUUGUGGCUCAACCAUAUAGACUGUAUUGCAUACUGGCGUGCUUGAGGAUGGCAGAGGCAAGUGGAAUUGGUAGUGUAGCAGUGAAAUGCGUAGAUAUCGAGAGGAACACCUGCGGCGAAGGCGGGUUGCUGGGCUGACACUGACGCUGAACUGCGAAAGCUAGGGGAGCGAACGGG